UGAGCCCACCCUGUCCCGCUAGCUUCGGUUAGCAUCGUCACGACCGAACAUUCGGCGCGUGCCGUCCAACGCCAUCGAAUGUCUCACGCGAACGCCCGAGUCCAUGGAACGUUCUAAAAGAUCCUGUGAGGAGGACAAACAGAUGUUACAACCGCACUAUUGUGACUCUAUCUGAAAUUUAGAGAUGAUGUUCAGUUCAACAUAAACUUAAAAUAUAGCAUCUAAAAAGGUAACUAUGGAAAACUUGUUUCAAAAUGGCAUUAUUUUAAGAGUUUUAGAGAAGUUUCUCAGUGUGGCUUGUAAUGUUUCAACUCGUCUGAAAGAAAGAAAACCACAACAUUCUAGAUCUGAGGUUUACAUUAUGUUUUUAAUUAUUACUAGUACUGUGCUUUUACUUUUGACACAGGACUUUUAGUAGAGUAUUUUCCCAUUAUGUUUUGCUACUUGUCCUUUCUUCCACCACUAGUAACCAGCAGAGGGGGUUGUUUCUCUGUCUCUGUGUAUGAAUCCCAAUCUGUCACA